CAGUCGCCGCGGGAAUACGGAGGGUGCAAGCGUUAAUCGGAAUUACUGAGCGUAAAGCGCACGCAGGCGGUCUGUCAAGUCAGAUGUGAAAUCCCCGGGCUUAACCUGGGAACUGCAUUUGAAACUGGCAGGCUAGAGUCUUGUAGAGGGGGGUAGAAUUCCAGGUGUAGCGGUGAAAUGCGUAGAGAUCUGGAGGAAUACCGGUGGCGAAGGCGGCCCCCUGGACAAAGACUGACGCUCAGGUGCGAAAGCGUGGGGAGCAAACAGGAUUAGAUACCCGCGUAGUCCCUGUCUCUUAUAC
rnacentral:rRNA from 1 species